rnacentral:lncRNA from 1 species
AAUUUCUCUUUGUGCAUCCAACUUAAUGGGAUAUGGAAAAAAAAGAUAAGGAUGCAAGAGAAGAGAUAUGCUAAGUGGGGAGCCAGGUCUCCACUAGAACCAGUGGGUGCAGAAACUGCUGCAAAUAUUGAGAGUAUGAAAGAAUAUGAGGGGUAUGGAGAAUGGAGAUGGGAGAAGAGCAAACACAAGGGAACAGGAGGAAGGAAGUACUGAGCAACAGGAUGUAAGACAUCAUUCAUCUACCCCUGAGCACUUGCUCUGUGCAAAUACACACUGAGGACCAAGACCAACUUUUAGUCCCUGUUUUGCCAGGAGCCUCAGUGCCAAAUGAUUGGCAUUUUGCUUUGUAACUAAUGAUUCUGGGAAGCAGAUGCAUGAUCUCAAGCUACUGUGAAACUACAGCUAAUUAUUUUCCAGAUGCAUUGCAAACAACAUCCCACUGAAAUGAAUGCAGAUCAUAAAAUGCUUUUAGCUUCAAGCACUUCACAACAUCCCACUGAAAUGAAUGCAGAUCAUAAAAUGCUUUUAGCUUCAAGCACUUCUAGGUACUACCAUAGGGUACCCAGAAUAUUAGCAAAAUAUCACCUAGUUUGGUUAGAAAAUUAUUCUAGCACUAUUAGGAGCAUUAAUUCUAUGAUAAUUCACCUUUAAGAUAAAGCCUGUCUAUUCUUUACACUUCUUUGGUCAAAUUUCAAACACAUCUUCCAAAACAGGCAUUUGCAUCCUCUGAGGGCAGUUAGGCAUAGAGGUUAUAGAAGCGCUGUCAAAUGGCCAUAGAGAGUGUAGAUCUUGGAGACAGUCUUAAAGAAUUUGAAUCCCUGUUCUUACACUUACAAUGUGGGUAACUAUGGAUGGAUUCCUUAACCUCUCUCUCCCUUAGCUUCUCAUCUGUAAAGUGGGGAUGAUAUGAAUUCAUCUGUCAGGCUGUCAUGAGGAUUAAAUGAGUCACCAUAACUAAAGCACUGAGAAAGCUACCU